rnacentral:lncRNA from 1 species
UAAAAAUCAAAGAACAAAAGAAAAAUGCUACCACAGACUUAAUCUAAAGCUUCAAAACUCUUCUCACCAAAAACCACUAUCAUCGCACACAACCCAAAAUUCUUCAAACCCUUUGCUUAUUCACCAAACUGAAAAUAAUAAACAACAAUAAAGUAAAUUCAAUCUAUUAUUAAUAAUAUGGUUAAUUCAAUAUUAAAGAUUAUUCAUAAUCUAAAAUUAAGGAAUCCCAAAUAUCAAAUUACAACAAUUCCUAAUUUUCUAGUAACAGUAGCUCAAUUGAACGAACAAAAUAAAAAUUUGAAACAACAAUCCCAAACCUUAGAAACAAUCAUGGGUAGUCGCGAUGUUAAAAAGUUGUUGUAAGAUGAUGUCCACGACGACCUACAACUCCACGGCUGUCAUAGCCACGCCGUGGUCAUUCUCGAUUGGAAAAGAGCAAAAGAAGUAUGGGUCUUGACUGCUGAAUGGUUGUGAUAAGAGGAAAAUCAAUGACUCUCUUGACUGCCAAAGAAGAAGAAUUAAGACGAAGCUCUCGGCGAUGCCAUGGCAGUGCUUUCGCCUGAGAUUGUUGAGUUGAUUGAUUGUUCAUACAAUGAAUGACACGAUUAAAUCGACGGUGAGUUGUAUGGUUCUGCAGUGACAUUAAGGACGCAAAUAAUUCAGGUUUUGGUCGCCGAAUUUUGAGGAUUUUGAUGGUCUCUGUCAACACCCCUUUGCAAGUUAUAGAUUAUGACUUCUGGGUUUUGGAUUUUAGUUUGUAGAAAUUAAGUUUUAGUUUUGAUUCAUUGUAGGAUUGGAUUUGAAUAUUGAUUGUACUUUUGUCAUGCACUUGUAAAGGGAAAAAAAUGAAGAAAAAGAUGAAAAAGGAGUAAGGCAAAGAAAAAAAAAUGAAAGAAAAACUCAAAGGAUUAAGCAAGAGGAAAAAAAUGAAGAAAAAGACGAAGAAGAAGUAAGGAAGAUGAAAAAGAAAUGAAGAAGAGAAAUUCAAUGUUUCAUUUAUUUUUUUCAUUUUAAUAUUGAUUUUUAUUAUACCUAUGGACUAUAAAAUGUCUACAUAAGAAAACAAAUGGGUGAUGGAAUAUUUUAGAAAUUGUAAAGGGACAAAGGAAAUAUAUUUUUAAAUAGUAGGUGUGUAACAAUUUAAGUUAAUGAUUUUCGUUAUUAGCGGGCUAUAUUGUACUUUCACGAGUUAACGG